AUGUACGCCAUGCAUCUGGUGGAGCUCUCGGAGCGGUCGUCGGCGAUCACCAUGGUGCAACGCGCGCGCCGCAACGGCUUGCCGUUCUCGGGCCGGCUCGGGCGGAAGGACGCGGGCGGGGAGGAGGUGCAGGUGGCGUUCGAGGCGUUCCAGAGGCUGAGCGCCGUGACGGUGAAACCGGUGACAGCCAUCUCCGACCUGGCCACCAUCCACGAGGACAUCAUCAACUCCGCGGUGCAAAAACGCGCCGCCGUCAUCGUGCUCCCGUUCCACAAGAUACUCUGCCACGACGGGGCGAUGGAGGCGUGA
rnacentral:rRNA from 1 species